ACUCCUGCGGGAGGCAGCAGUGGGGAAUUUUGGACAAUGGGGGCAACCCUGAUCCAGCAAUGCCGCGUGAGUGAAGAAGGCCUUCGGGUUGUAAAGCUCUUUUGUCAGGGAAGAAACGGUGGUGGCGAAUAACUACUACUAAUGACGGUACCUGAAGAAUAAGCACCGGCUAACUACGUGCCAGCAGCCGCGGUAAUACGUAGGGUGCAAGCGUUAAUCGGAAUUACUGGGCGUAAAGCGUGCGCAGGCGGUUGUGUAAGUCAGAUGUGAAAUCCCCGGGCUCAACCUGGGAAUUGCAUUUGAGACUGCACGGCUAGAGUGUGUCAGAGGGGGGUAGAAUUCCACGUGUAGCAGUGAAAUGCGUAGAUAUGUGGAGGAAUACCGAUGGCGAAGGCAGCCCCCUGGGAUAACACUGACGCUCAUGCACGAAAGCGUGGGGAGCAAACAGGAUUAGAUACCCGGGUAGUCCC
rnacentral:rRNA from 1 species